rnacentral:lncRNA from 10 species
ACUGGAAUAUUAUUUUAAGAGCAAAUACAUGUACAUUCCUAAUGUUGCUCGAAUGGGAAUUAUCAAGAAGAAGAAGAAGAAGAAGAAAAAAAAAAAAGGAAAACAAACCCAUGAGAGUUUGGGUUGCUAUUUCUGACCAAGUUUGAAUUGGGAAAUACCAGGAGUCCCAUAGGAAAUCUUAUCUCACCGGAAGACGAUCAUGGUCUCUUGGCCAAAGAAUGGGUGAGACACACCUCAAAUGACAGAAUCCCACAUCAAGCUUUCUCUCCUGGGGAGUUAACCCCCCUGGGGCUAACCCUUCACAAAGGCGGGAUGGAAGCCAGUGGAAAAGUACCCAG